UCCCGCCAUGUUGUGUAGGGUGAUUCGGGGGCGUUUGUAUGGAAACGUUUGGGCAAACCUGGGGACAGCGGGAGACCUCUGCGGGGAUUUGGGAACUUUUUUGUGGAAAUGUGUGGAAUUACGUGUUAUUUUGUUCGUUUGCUCGUUUGAAACAUUCUUUGUGGUGAUAAAGGACUUCUUUGGAAAACAUGGUGACCUUGUGUGGAAAACUGGUGAAUUGGUUACCGUUUGUAGAACUGCAUGUGGAAAUAUGCUAAUUUUCUGUGUGGAAAAUGGUGUGGUAAUUUUAGCAUGAAAUGGGAGCUUUUAUGUGACGUGUGUGUUUGUGCAACCUGUGGAAAAUUGUGUGGUGAUUGGGUAAAUGUCAGGAAAUAUGGUUAUUGUGUGUGAGGGAAAUGGUUUGGGGAUUUGGAAACCUUUUUUGAGGGCACAUGAUGGUUUUUGUGUGGAAAACGGGUCAUUUUGUGUGGUGACGGGAGACCUCUCCACGGGGACGUGCUGGGCCGGCCCGUACGGGUCGUCUCGUCCACGGCUCUGCGGUCGACGGUGCGCGCGAUUUCUCUCACGUGAAAGUGUCUAACGCGGGUCUGCCGCUCUCGCAGGCGCCUCCUCGUGCCCCGUCCUGGAGCCGGCAGUGACAGGAGCAGGACUUGGAAACAUCCAACGCUCCAUGGGUGAAGUUGGGAGCUGUGAAACCAAGUCCUGAGACCGUGGUGGGCAUGCAGGUGUCAUCUUACCAUCAUCGGUGUUGGGGUUAACGUUGUGAAUAUUUUAUCUUGCGUGACACUGUCUGAUGUGGGCCUCCGACACUUGUCCUUGUGCACUUGUCCUUGGAACCACCUUAUCGUCGAGGAGGUGCAACAUGACAAUCGGCACCAGAAGUCAUGGGGUAGAAGGGUCUUUGACACGUGGCAUGUCUGCAACCAGGUCUCUGUGCAGACUGUUCAGAAAUGGGCAUUUGGGGCCUGCGCCAGUCUCCUGGAAACAGCUGAGCCAGCCCUUGCAGCAG